AGCAUACUCCCUCCGUUCGGAAAUACUUGUCAAAGAAAUGGAUGUAUCUAGAAGUAUUUUAGUUCUAGAUACAUCCGCUUUUAUCCAUUUUUGCGACAAGUAAUUCCGAACGGAGGAAGUACAAA
rnacentral:pre_miRNA from 1 species